GACAGAGGGUGCGAACGUUGCUCGGAAUUACUGGGCGUAAAGCGUGCGUAGACGGUUAUGUAAGUCAGGUGUGAAAGCCCCGGGCUCAACCUGGGAAUGGCAUUUGAGACUGCAUAGCUAGGGUGCGGAAGAGGGAAGCGGAAUUUCCGGUGUAGCGGUGAAAUGCGUAGAUAUCGGAAGGAACAUCAGUGGCGAAAGCGGCUUCCUGGUCCAGCACCGACGUCAGGCACGAAAGCGUGGGGAGCAAACAGG
rnacentral:rRNA from 1 species